AUUGAACGCUAGCGGGAUGCCUUACACAUGCAAGUCGAACGGAGUGGCGAACGGGCGAGUAAUGUAUCGGAACGUGCCCAGUAGCGGGGGAUAACUACGCGAAAGCGUAGCUAAUACCGCAUACUAUUGGAGCGGCCGAUGUCGGAGUAGAUAGUUGGUGGGGUAACGGCUUACCAAGGCGACGAACGGUAGCUGGUUUGAGAGGACGACCAGCCACACUGGGACUGAGACACGGCCCAGACUCCUAGGGGAGGCAGCAGUGGGGAAUUUUGGACAAUGGGGGAAACCCUGGUCCAGCCAUCCCGCGUGUGCGAUGAGGGCCUUCGGGUUGUACAGCACUUUUGGCAGGAAAGCGGUACCUGCAGAAUAAGCACCGGCUAACUACGUGCCAGCAGCCGCGGUAAUUC
rnacentral:rRNA from 1 species